rnacentral:rRNA from 1 species
CAAAUUUCUGCCCUAUCAACUUUCGAUGGUAAGAUANAGGCUUACCAUGGUCUUAACGGGUAACGGGGAAUUAGGGUUCUAUUCCGGAGAGGGAGCCUGAGAAACGGCUACCACAUCCAAGGAAGGCAGCAGGCGCGCAAAUUACCCAAUCCCGACACGGGGAGGUAGUGACAAUAAAUACUGAUACGGGGCUCUUUUGGGUCUCGUAAUUGGAAUGAGUACAAUCUAAAUCCCUUAACGAGGAACAAUUGGAGGGCAAGUCUGGUGCCAGCGNCCGCGGUAAUUCCAGCUCCAAUAGCGUAUAUUAAAGUUGUUGCCGUUAAAAAGCUCGUANUUGAACCUUGGGCCUGGCUGACCUGUCCUCCUAAUCGAGCGCACGGGUUCGGUCGGGCCUUUCCUUCUAGGGAACCCCAUGCCCUUCACUGGGUGUGGUGGGGAACUAGGACUUUUACCUUGAAAAAAUUAGAGUGUUCAAAGCAGGCCUUUGCUCGAAUACAUUAGCAUGGAAUAAUAGAAUAGGACAUCGGUUCUAUUUUGUUGGUUUCUAGGACCG